rnacentral:misc_RNA from 1 species
AACGCACAUUGCGCCCUCUGGUAUUCCGGAGGGCAUGCCUGUUCGAGCGUCAUUACACCACUCAAGCACCGCUUGGUAUUGGGCGCCGCGGUUUUCCCGCGCGCCCCAAUCUCACCGGCCGAGCACCCUCGACUCUGAGCGCAGAAGCAAAACACUUUCGCUCGGGGGCUCUUGGGGGGACCCGUGCCGCUAAACACCAACACACCAAAAGGUUGACCUCGGAUCAGGUAGGGAUACCCGCUGAACUUAA